rnacentral:tRNA from 1 species
GGGCCUCUAGCUCAACGGUAGAGCGCCGGACUCAUAAUCCGUCGGUUGCAGGUUCGAAUCCUGCGGGGCCCA